UUUGAUAUAAAACAGUUUCGACUUUAAAGAUCAAUAAAUUAUCGACUUGGAAAUUAAUACGUAAUGCUUUAACAAAUUCAAAACAUGAAGGGAAAAGCUAAUUUAAACGCGACUAUAAAAACGAAAUGAUGAAAAGUGGUAAUUAUACUGAGACCUAAGAACUUAUAUAUCAAGGGAAGUCUUUGACGACACUCUGCACUCCCUCAAGCCAGAACUUUGGUCUGGUCGACCGGAAAUCUUGCUCGGAAGCUGUUGUGUAAGACACAGGUAUCCACCACAGGGGCGCUUGUUGAGAUGAUGAUGUUUCAUUGAUCAGUACGAACCUUUCCUGAAACAUAUACAAACCACAGCAUGACUCAACGUAGUUCAUAAUGUCUCAAUGGGAUAAGAAGAUCGCUAAUGUGGCGUAUAAACCAUAACGCAAUGAAAAAUGGCAUCAAUGGAAAUAGUCGCCUACGCGUUUUGAAAAGGUUUUUUUUAUAUCGCCUUUGUCGGAAGACCAGAUGGUGAGUUGUUACUGAUGGACAGCCGCAAUGUCAGAGGUACAGCCAAGUCGCUUAAAGAAGGAUAUGCCAUAGCGUUCGGGACACAUCGUGGAAGAGAAGAUUCCAGAGCCACAUGGCACGUGACAGAGCAGAUCUCUGAAAACGCACUCUUGAGGAACUAUUUCAGAUAUUAUGCAUAAACUCUGUGCCGCAAAGCAGAGCAGGCCAGGGUAGAUCAUAAAAGAAACAAGCGAAAGAGAAUGACUACAUCGGGGCUUAUAAAUAUAUGUACAAAUUAAAGAAUUUUCAAAUGUCAGUAGAUGUCAUUUCUUAUUGAAUUAUUGUUGUUAAACUAACUUCAAGAAGUAGCCUGCUGAGGAAAGCGCGUUCACUAAUUAUUGGUUUUUUCAGUAUUGGACGAGGUUGAAGUCUUGUCAAAGAAAAUAUCUCCACGAAACGAAUGGCUUCUUCGCGACAAAACCAGACCAGUUGAUUAUAGGAUAGAUGCUUCUUAAUAUAUCAUAAUUAAAGCAGGUGUCCUUGGUAAUCGUACGCCAUGAAGGAUUUAUUUUAAAAAUAGCCCUAAAACUUAUUUAAUUCCAACAUAGCCGUGGAACGAACUCAGAAAUUCAAUCAACCAAAAAAUCAAAUUCUAUAAAACGCGAUGACGCACAAUUUUUGUUAUCAAUUAAGUGCAUUCGGUUUAAUUAGUAAAUCUACAUCAUCGUUAUAUUUAUCCUUGUGUAUCGAUUUCAUUACUGGUAUUAUUCGGAAAAUGAUCUAAUCAAAUGAUAGCACGCCUAUGAAUAAUACAGACGGUAUUUUAUUGAUAAAAGGAAUCCGGAUUGUGUUGAUAAGCUAUGUAAUUUUAUUAGCGGCACGUGCGUCACGUGGCUUUAAGGCCCGAUGGGGAUUUUUAGUGUCUUGGAAUAAAGAGUAUACGGCCCACUUGAUGAUGAAUUAGCACCAUCGGUCGUGGAUAAAUACUAGCAAUCACCAAUUAGGUUGAAAAGAGAGAUAGGUAUGGGAGAGGGGAUUUCUUUCUGGAAUCGAGUAGGACAUGGUCAAGCUGAGGCGUGGAAAAGUAACGGGAAUGAACACGACAGUUCCGGGUAUCUUAGGUUCAGAUAUCCAGGCAUUGGGUCCAUCUUAUCCAGAACAUGGAUGACGCUGCGUAUUUCUUUACAUGACAAAGUCUGAAUUACAUAAUCAUUUGCAAUUUUUCAAACCAGAACGAGUUAUUGCUAAGCGACAGUUGUAGAAAAUGAGAUUAUUUACUCAUGUAGACUCACAAUAUAAAUUUAAGCACCUACUAAAAGGCGCAUAGUCGAUUUAUAACGAUACCAGGUCGCCUAUUGCAAAUCAAAUAUUUUUAAUUUCCAAUAAUAUUGAAAUGAAUUAAUAACUUAGGACUAAUUUUAUUUUAUUUUGUGCAACGUAGUGACAUCUGUUGAAAAAUAAAGUAAUUUCGGAAAUAAA